rnacentral:rRNA from 1 species
UACGGAGGAUCCAAGCGUUAUCCGGAUUUAUUGGGUUUAAAGGGUGCGUAGGCGGCUUUGUAAGUCAGUGGUGAAAUAUGGCAGCUCAACUGUCAGGGUGCCAUUGAUACUGCGGAGCUUGAGUACAGAUGAGGUAGGCGGAAUUGACGGUGUAGCGGUGAAAUGCUUAGAUAUCGUCAAGAACACCGAUAGCGAAGGCAGCUUACUAGGCUGUAACUGACGCUGAGGCACGAAAGUGUGGGGAUCAAACAGG